AUAUGAGAAAACUAUGGACCUGCAAACUCCAUUAAAGCAAAAUAAAGCCUCAUAUC
rnacentral:tRNA from 1 species